GGGCCCGUAGUCUAGUGGUAAAACGAUGCAUUCGCAUUGCAUAUACGGGAGUUCGAUUCUCCCCGGGUCCA
rnacentral:tRNA from 6 species